rnacentral:piRNA from 1 species
UAGCACAAAGAAGUUCAUAGUUUAAUGCUA